UCCCAAGUGUCUCAGUGGUAAAGAAUCCACCUGCCAAUGGAGGAGACUGGAGAUUCAGGUUCAAUCCCUGAGUUGGGAA
rnacentral:tRNA from 1 species